UAUUCGGAUUAUUAUUUUAUUUUCCUAGUAUAGGAAUAACGAGCGUGCCAUAUUCAAUCGCCAAGUUUGAUAAAUGGGCAGUUGUCAAUUAUUUUCUUUGAAGUAGAAAUGUUUCCGUUGAUAAAAUUAUUUCAACUCAUUGAUCUUUCUUAGUAGAACCAAAUGUGUACAUAUAUUUUUUUUUGUCCAUCUGUUUUAAUUCCAUUCCUAUCAUAAUAUAUGUUUUAGAACCAGAGCCAGUCCCAGGAAACCAACCACUGCCAGUGAAGACACAUUCAUCAACGUCUUCAAAUUUAAGUCUGCAUCCUUCUGUUAAGCCAGCACCUACACUUAAUAAAAAAAAGGAGAGGCAAAGCUUCACACUUGAUUCAUUUUUCCAAAUACCAGUUUCAAAAAGAUCUGGCCAUCCAGCAUCCAAAUCAGCAGGCAGCCCAGUCUCCAAUCCACAUCAGCAGGCACACCUGGCAGCCCAGUCUCCAAAU